CGAGAUGAUCCCAAGCCUUCUGGCGCUUGUUGGGCGGAAAUAUGCCUAUGAUUUAAGGACUUCGCUUUAAGAAAAGGGCUUUCCCUUACGUAACUAGCUCUCUUGAGGAGUUUCGCGAAAGAGACCUCUUUCUGGUUUAGGGAAGAAGUUUUUGCUUGUCGGGGAGCUUGCUUGUGCCAAAGAGGGUUGCUUUUGGUAAGAGUCCUCUUCCUUCCCUUUUGAAGGAAGAAAGCUUUUGAGGGAGCGGUUUGUACCGGGGAGUGCUUUCCGGUUUAUUCCAGAGGGCUUGUAGCUCAGUUGGUUAGAGCGCGCGCUUGAUAAGCGUGAGGUCGGAGGUUCAAGUCCUCCCAGGCCCACCAUUAUACUCACGCCUUAGAGUGAGGUUUCCGGAUUUUUGCAGUCUUUCGGCUUGCAUAUAUGGAUAGAUCAUUUUAUGAAAUAAAGUGUGGUAGAGAAGAGAGGGUGAGUGAAUUUUGUCGCUAUAAAAUGCGCUUUUGUUUGUCUCUCUUUAUCUCUUUAAAGUUUGAAGCAUUAUUCAGUAAGGGGCCGUAGCUCAGCUGGGAGAGCACCUGCUUUGCAAGCAGGGGGUCGUCGGUUCGAUCCCGUCCGGCUCCACCAUUUAGCGGAUCCGUUUUUUGAUCAUCAUCGACGUUGAAAGAACAGAGUUUGCGAGGGGAUCUGAUCCUCUUUGCGUGUUCUAUUGAAAUUGUGAAGAGAAGGUAUAUUCAGACAUUUUUUGUUUGAGCUUUUUGUAUCUGGAGGGUUUAUAAUCCUUUUCUGUGGGUAUUUUGAGUUUUUAAACAAGGAUGUGUCGCAUUGGGGCGCUCACCCCAUUGCUUAUGAUUGAA
rnacentral:tRNA from 1 species